GGACCGCUGGCGCAACGGUAGCGCGUUCGACUCCAGCGAUUGGAGUUCUAUCGAAAGGUUAUCCGUUCAAAUCGGGUGUGGUUCA